rnacentral:rRNA from 1 species
UACGUAGGGGGCUAGCGUUGUCCGGAAUCAUUGGGCGUAAAGAGCGUGUAGGCGGCCCGGUAAGUCCGCUGUGAAAGUCGGGGGCUCAACCCUCGGAUGCCGGUGGAUACUGUCGGGCUCGAGUACGGAAGAAGCGAGUGGAAUUCCUGGUGUAGCGGUGAAAUGCGCAGAUAUCAGGAGGAACACCUAUUGCGAAGGCAGCUCGCUGGGACGUUACUGACGCUGAGACGCGAAAGCGUGGGGAGCAAACAGG